rnacentral:lncRNA from 1 species
CUUCACCAGGAAUGACGGUUUCUCUUGCACAUGCGCUUCCAGGCCGCAAGUGUCCGGAAACAGAAGAAUGGGAGUGUCAGUGGGGGAGUGUGACCGUGACGGCAGAGGCAAGGUCAGAGGACUGAAAAGAAAUUGAAAAGGAUUCUUCAUUAUGCUUCAUCUCUGCACUUGCCUUUUGGGCAUCAUCAACAUAGGAUUCAAAAGAUACUCAGCAUCAGAGCCGUAACAGUCUCGUGACUGACAAACUCUAAAUAAGUAUAGCAAAUAAUGAAUCCGCUAGCGAGUGGCUUUUCAUUCAUUUAUUCGUUUGAUUAAUGUUAUCUUUUCAAAAAAACCUUCUCUGACCAUUCUAAAAUUACCUCCCCCUU